rnacentral:rRNA from 2 species
GGGUGCGAUCAUACCAGCACUAAUGCACCGGAUCCCAUCAGAACUCCGAAGUUAAGCGUGCUUGGGCGAGAGUAGUACUAGGAUGGGUGACCUCCUGGGAAGUCCUCGUGUUGCACUCC